CAAAAGGACAUUACACCAGACACUUGGGUUCCUGGGAGUGCAUUAAGUCUCCAUCUCACCCCUUCCUUUAGGCUCCUGCAUUGUCCAGAGAUAGGAGGGAGUGACAAAUGCUACUGUGUCCAUGUUGUUAUCGUCCUCAUCCCACGAGCGGAAAGCUGAACAUUCACAAACGUCAUUUGUAAGGUAUCAGAAUCAGAGAGAGAGAUGUCCCUGAAAAUUACGAAGACUAGAAGGGAAAGCCAUCAAAUGUGUUGACCGUUGAUCUCUGGAAUUUGCAAAGAUGGACUCAUUAUACUCCAGUCUCUCCAAUCAGACCACAGAGGAUCCAGACAACUGGAUGGCCAGAGGUGAACAAAAUGUCCAAGAAGCAUGUCUAACCAGAAGAUGUCUCCACCUUGAAGAACGGCUCAGGUCCAGCCCUCGAUUUGGACUUCAAUUUGGACUCGAAGUUAACACAAACAAGCAAGCAUUCUUGUUCACGUUUCCAGCACCGCAAAAUUCGACUUCUUCUCAAGGAAAGGUGGCCAUGAGAGAAAAGCCCUUUAGAGGUUUAGUCCCAACAGACUAAAAGAAAAUGCACGUGCUAACAGAAUAAAGGAGAAAGUACCACA